AACGCGAAGAACCUUACCUACUCUUGACAUCCAGAGAACUUUCCAGAGAUGGAUUGGUGCCUUCGGGAACUCUGAGACAGGUGCUGCAUGGCUGUCGUCAACUCGUGUUGUGAAAUGUUGGGUUAAGUCCCGCAACGAGCGCAACCCUUAUCCUUUGUUGCCAGCGGUUCGGCCGGGAACUCAAAGGAGACUGCCAGUGAUAAACUGGAGGAAGGUGGGGAUGACGUCAAGUCAUCAUGGCCCUUACGAGUAGGGCUACACACGUGCUACAAUGGCGUAUACAAAGAGAAGCGACCUCGCGAGAGCAAGCGGACCUCAUAAAGUACGUCGUAGUCCGGAUUGGAGUCUGCAACUCGACUCCAUGAAGUCGGAAUCGCUAGUAAUCGUAGAUCAGAAUGCUACGGUGAAUACGUUCCCGGGCCUUGUACACACCG
rnacentral:rRNA from 1 species